UAUAAAUCCUUCUCGACUACCUUGGAGCUUGUGGUAUAGGAACUAGGUUGUUUAUAUUUGUUGAUUACUUUCUUGUCUCUCAAAGAACCCAUUCUUUGAGUUCUAUCUCUCGUUCAUUGCUCUAUCUUAGACAAAUCAUAUUGUAGGAUUAUAAUGAACUACCCAACAAAACAACAUUUGUUAGUUGGUUUAUAGAAGCGAUAUCCAAAAGUUAAUUUAAGGAU
rnacentral:lncRNA from 1 species